rnacentral:rRNA from 1 species
GACGUAGGGCGCGAGCGUUGUCCGGAUUUAUUGGGCGUAAAGAGCGUGUAGGCGGUUUGGUAGGUCCGCUGUGAAAACUCGAGGCUCAACCUCGAGACGCCGGUGGAAACCAUCAGGCUAGAGUCCGGAAGAGGAGAGUGGAAUUCCUGGUGUAGCGGUGAAAUGCGCAGAUAUCAGGAAGAACACCCGUGGCGAAAGCGGCUCUCUGGAACGGUACUGACGCUGAGACGCGAAAGCGUGGGGAGCAAACAGG